rnacentral:tRNA from 1 species
GGCUCAGUAGCUUAGUUGGUAAAGCACCUGUCUAGCGUAUAAGGAUCGUGGGUUCAAAUCUCACCUGAACUG